AGGUAAAUAUUAAGAAAAAACAAAAAGAAAUGUUCAUCCUGAUGAAGUCUGUCUUCCCCUUGCCUGGCUCUUCUAACUUGUAAUGGAGGAAACUCAUUAAAAGAGCUUUAAUACUUUGUGGAUAUUCUCAUUGAUGAUCUUCCCCUCAGAGUUCACUUAGGACCCGACAUGAACGAAACAAAGAUUGGGACAAGCAAAGGAUUACUCUGUGAUAGAUGUUAACCGGAGUCCUCACCCAGCAGAUGGGAUAACUUACUUCUAGAAAGUACUGCCCAGCAAGAGUCAUCUUCAGGAAGAGGGACUUUUGGAAUUUAACAGAUGAGUAGAAUUUUGAUAACCUUCAUCUCCCUGGUAUUGGCCCAUAAUACCCUAUUCUCUGUUGUAAUUUGGGGGGCUUUGUUGUCUGGAUGAUUCAUGAGUAUUUGAUCUUUCAAAGUAGACUGUAAGCGCCUCAAGUACAAGGAACAUGCACUUUAAUCCUCCAAACACCUGAGGACAGGUAUUUAUACAUAGUAAAAACUCAGAAAGUACCCCCUGAGUGGAUGAAUGAAUGAACGAAUGAACUUCUUAUCUGCUAACUUUUCAAAUUAAAAAAUCAGUUGCAUGUUACAUUGAGAGGAAAUUAUCCCCCAAAGAAACUUACCCAAA